rnacentral:rRNA from 1 species
UACGUAGGGACCAAGCGUUGUUCGGAUUUACUGGGUGUAAAGGGCUUGUAGGCGGCCAACUAAGUCCGACGUGAAAUCCCUAGGCUUAACCUAGGAACUGCGUCGGAUACUGGAUGGCUUGAAUCCGGGAGAGGGAUGCGGAAUUCCAGGUGUAGCGGUGAAAUGCGUAGAUAUCUGGAGGAACACCGGUGGCGAAGGCGGCAUCCUGGACCGGCAUUGACGCUGAAAAGCGAAAGCCAGGGGAGCAAACGGG